GCUAACUCCGUGCCAGCAGCCGCGGUAAUACGGAGGGUGCGAGCGUUAAUCGGAAUUACUGGGCGUAAAGCGCGCGUAGGUGGUUUGAUAAGCGAGAUGUGAAAGCCCCGGGCUUAACCUGGGAACGGCAUUUCGAACUGUCAGGCUAGAGUAUGGUAGAGGGUAGUGGAAUUUCCUGUGUAGCGGUGAAAUGCGUAGAUAUAGGAAGGAACACCAGUGGCGAAGGCGACCACCUGGACUGAUACUGACACUGAGGUGCGAAAGCGUG
rnacentral:rRNA from 1 species